rnacentral:rRNA from 1 species
GAUGAACGCUGGCGGCGUGCCUAAUACAUGCAAGUCGAACGCUGAAGCUUGGUGCUUGCACCGAGCGGAUGAGUUGCGAACGGGUGAGUAACGCGUAGGUAACCUGCCUCUUAGCGGGGGAUCACUAUUGGAAACGAUAGCUAAUACCGCAUAAAAGUCGAUAUCGCAUGAUAUUGAUGUGAAAGGUGCAAAUGCAUCACUAAGAGAUGGACCUGCGUUGUAUUAGCUAGUUGGUGAGGUAACGGCUCACCAAGGCGACGAUACAUAGCCGACCUGAGAGGGUGGGCAGCCAGCCUGGGACUGAGACACGGCCCAGACGCCUACGGGAGGCGGCAGUAGGGAAACUUCGGCAAUGGGGGCAACCCUGAGCGAGAUACGCGGCGUGAGGGAAGAGGGUUGUCGGGUCGUAAAGCUCGGUUGUAAGAGAAGAACGAGUGUGAGAGUGGAAAGUACACACUGUGACGGUAACGUACCAGAAAGCAACGGCUAACUACGUG